rnacentral:rRNA from 1 species
UACGGAGGGGGCCAGCGUUGUUCGGAAUCAUUGGGCGUAAAGCGCGUGUAGGCGGUCCGAUCAGUCGGCUGUGAAAGUCCAGGGCUCAACCCUGGGAUGCCGGUCGAUACUGUCGGGCUAGAGUCCGGAAGAGGCGAGUGGAAUUCCCGGUGUAGCGGUGAAAUGCGCAGAUAUCGGGAGGAACACCAAUGGCGAAGGCAGCUCGCUGGGACGUUACUGACGCUGAGACGCGAAAGCGUGGGGAGCAAACAGG